rnacentral:rRNA from 1 species
AUGGAUUCCAGUGAGGAAUACAAUUAUGAUGAGGAUGAGCAUGGAAAUUCAGUUAGGAUGAAAUCAAGAUUUCCAAGAUAUGAUAGCAAGGCUGCAAUUCCUAUCUUCAGCUUAGGCAUGACAUUUAGGGGAAGAGGUCAGUUCAAGAGGGUUGUUGUGGAGUAUGGUCUAGCUAUGAAGAGGCAUAUUUCCUUUGUAAAGGAUGAGGCUGGUAGGAUUAGGGCAAAAUGUUCUUGGACAAAGUGUCCAUGGUUGAUAUAUGCUGCAAAGAGGAGCUCAAAUGAAUGGUUUCAGGUCAUUACACUUGUAGACAACCAUAUAUGCCCAGAGAGGAGAGACAAUAGGUUGGUAACUACCCCUAGAAUUGCAGAUAAGUAUGAGAGAAUCAUGAAGGCCAAUCCAGGCUGGAAAGUGAAACCUAUUAAGGCCACUGUUAGGUUGGAGAUGUUUGAAGAUGUGCAUGUUUCCAAGAUAAAGAAAGUAAAAGCAAUAGUCAGAAACAGAGUUAGAGAAGCAAUGCAUGAAGAAUAUGCUAGGGUGUUUGAUUAG